rnacentral:rRNA from 1 species
UACGGGGGGGGCAAGCGUUGUUCGGAAUUACUGGGCGUAAAGGGGCUGUAGGCGGCCAACUAAGUCCGACGUGAAAUCCCAAAGCUUAACUUUGGAACUGCGUCGGAUACUGGAUGGCUUGAAUUCGGGAGAGGGAUGCAGAAUUCCAGGUGUAGCGGUGAAAUGCGUAGAUAUCUGGAGGAAUACCGGUGGCGAAGGCGGCAUCCUGGACCGACAUUGACGCUGAAAGCCGAAAGCUAGGGGAGCAAACGGG